AGUGAACGCUGGCGGUAGGCCUAACACAUGCAAGUCGAACGGCAGCACAGUAAGAGCUUGCUCUUACGGGUGGCGAGUGGCGGACGGGUGAGGAAUACAUCGGAAUCUACUUUUUCGUGGGGGAUCACGUAGGGAAACUUACGCUAAUACCGCAUCCGCCCUACGGGUGAAAGCAGGGGAUCUUCGGACCUUGCGCGGUUGAAUGAGCCGCUGUCGGAUUAGCUAGUUGGCGGGGUAAAGGCCCACCAAGGCGACGAUCCGUAGCUGGUCUGAGAGGAUGAUCAGCCACACUGGAACUGAGACACGGUCCAGACUCCUACGGGAGGCAGCAGUGGGGAAUAUUGGACAAUGGGCGCAAGCCUGAUCCAGCCAUACCGCGUGGGUGAAGAAGGCCUUCGGGUUGUAAAGCCCUUUUGUUGGGAAAGAAAAGCAGCAGGUUAAUACCCCGCUGUUCUGACGGUACCCAAAGAAUAAGCACCGGCUAACUUCGUG
rnacentral:rRNA from 1 species